CCUACGUGUCGCAGCAGUGGGGAAUAUUGGACAAUGGGCGAAAGCCUGAUCCAGCCAUGCCGCGUGUGUGAAGAAGGCCUUCGGGUUGUAAAGCACUUUCAGUGGGGAAGAAAGCCUUGGGGCUAAUACCCUCGAGGAAGGACAUCACCCACAGAAGAAGCACCGGCUAACUCCGUGCCAGCAGCCGCGGUAAUACGGAGGGUGCGAGCGUUAAUCGGAAUUACUGGGCGUAAAGCGCGCGUAGGCGGUCUGAUAAGCCGGUUGUGAAAGCCCCGGGCUCAACCUGGGAACGGCAUCCGGAACUGUCAGGCUAGAGUGCAGGAGAGGAAGGUAGAAUUCCCGGUGUAGCGGUGAAAUGCGUAGAGAUCGGGAGGAAUACCAGUGGCGAAGGCGGCCUUCUGGACUGACACUGACGCUGAGGUGCGAAAGCGUGGGUAGCAAACAGGACUAGAUACCCUAGUAGUC
rnacentral:rRNA from 1 species